rnacentral:tRNA from 1 species
GAGGAGAGAUGGCCGAGAGG